rnacentral:rRNA from 1 species
UACGGAGGGUGCAAGCGUUAUCCGGAUUCACUGGGUUUAAAGGGUGCGUAGGAGGGCAGGUAAGUCAGUGGUGAAAUCCCCGAGCUUAACUUGGGAACUGCCGUUGAUACUAUCUGUCUUGAAUAUUGUGGAGGUAAGCGGAAUAUGUCAUGUAGCGGUGAAAUGCUUAGAUAUACAUAGAACACCAAUUGCGAAGGCAGCUGGCUACGCGAAUAUUGACACUGAUGCACGAAAGCGUGGGGGAUCAAACAGG